rnacentral:rRNA from 1 species
GAACGAGCUUCCGUUGAAUGACGUGCUUGCACUGAUUUUAACAAUCAAUCGAGUGGCCAACUGGUGAGUAACACGUGGGAAAUCUGCCCAGAAGCAGGGGAUAACACUUGGAAACAGGUGCUAAUACCGUAUAACAACAAAAUCCGCAUGGAUUUUGUUUGAAAGGUGGCUUCGGCUAUCACUUCUGGAUGAUCCCGCGGCGUAUUAGUUAGUUGGUGAGGUAAAGGCCCACCAAGACGAUGAUACGUAGCCGACCUGAGAGGGUAAUCGGCCACAUUGGGACUGAGACACGGCCCAAACUCCUACGGGAGGCAGCAGUAGGGAAUCUUCCACAAUGGACGAAAGUCUGAUGGAGCAAUGCCGCGUGAGUGAAGAAGGGUUUCGGCUCGUAAAACUCUGUUGUUAAAGAAGAACACCUUUGAGAGUAACUGUUCAAGGGUUGACGGUAUUUAACCAGAAAGCCACGGCUAACUACGUGCCAGCAGCCGCGGUAAUACGUAGGUGGCAAGCGUUGUCCGGAUUUAUUGGGCGUAAAGCGAGCGCAGGCGGUUUUUUAAGUCUGAUGUGAAAGCCUUCGGCUUAACCGGAGAAGUGCAUCGGAAACUGGGAGACUUGAGUGCAGAAGAGGACAGUGGAACUCCAUGUGUAGCGGUGGAAUGCGUAGAUAUAUGGAAGAACACCAGUGGCGAAGGCGGCUGUCUAGUCUGUAACUGACGCUGAGGCUCGAAAGCAUGGGUAGCGAACAGGAUUAGAUACCCUGGUAGUCCAUGCCGUANACGAUGAGUGCUAAGUGUUGGAGGGUUUC